GAUGAAGAACGCAGCGAAAUGCGAUAAGUAAUGUGAAUUGCAGAAUUCAGUGAAUCAUCGAAUCUUUGAACGCACAUUGCGCCCGCCAGUACUCUGGCGGGCAUGCCUGUUCGAGCGUCAUUUCAACCAUCAAGCCCCCGGCUUGUGUUGGGGACCUGCGGCUGCCGCAGGCCCUGAAAACCAGUGGCGGGCUCGCUAGUCACUCCGAGCGUAGUAAUACAUCUCGCUCAGGGCGUGCUGCGGGUUCCGGCCGUUAAAAAAGCCUUAUUUACCCAAGGUUGACCUCGGAUCAGGUAGGAAGACCCGCUGAACUUAAGCAUAUCAAUAAGCGGAGGA
rnacentral:misc_RNA from 1 species